rnacentral:rRNA from 1 species
GGAAAGAUGAAAAGAACUUUGAAAAGAGAGUUAAACAGUACGUGAAAUUGUUGAAAGGGAAACGAUUGAAGUCAGUCGUGCUGGCGCGAAAUCAACCAUCUCGUCUUGAGGUCGCAUGGCGCGACGAGCCUCAAAACCGUCACGAAGUGUGAACUCUUGACGAAAAGGUGCACUUUCGUGUCCGCUGGUUAACAUCAAUUUUGACUGUCAUAAAAAGGCUAAAGGGGAUCUGGCUCCUUCGGGAAUGUGAUAAACUUUAAGCGGAAUAUGGUGGUCGGGAUUGAGGUUUGCAACGAAUACCUUUAGGGCUGCUCAAACUGGUCUGAUCGCCCCUUUUUAGUUAUCAUAUAUAUGGUGCGUUCCGCUAAUUAUAGGGGUGAUUAGUCAGGUGGUGCAAAUUCGUUAAGGAUGUUAACAAAAUGGCUUUAAACGACCGUCUUGAAACACGGACCA